CAUACAUGUAGUGUCCAGUGGUGCAGGAGGAGGUAUGUGCCCAGUCACCGCCAUCGUCUGUCAGAUCCGCUGUCAUCCAAGAAGUCUGAACCACUUUGCAGACUGUCCUGCUUGUCAAGCCCUGCUCUUGGAUUGGACAACACUGGGCAGCAGGAAGUGUCUUGGGCUGUCAAAUGCACAAUAUGUAUCAAGUAGUCUGAGAAGCGUUGCAACCAUCUUGGAUGACAAAACAGACGCCUGCGAACUGGCUGAUCCGCAGCUAAAAACAUGAAAAGGAGGUCACCAGGUUCCUACAAUAUAGGAUCCGCUCAGUGGAUAUCUUCUAUAUAAGAUCCUUCUUCUGAUUGACCCAUGAAGGAUGGAUAGGGACAGAGACAAGAUGGCAGAGAGUAUAAUAAAUCUCACCCUAGAGAUCCUCUUCCGGCUUACUGGAGAGGACUACACAUUAGUGAAGAAGACCUCUAGUGAGCGCUGUCAGGUCCCCGUGUCUGAAGGAUGGGGAAGAACCCCUAGCCUAAUCACAGGGCUUCCACCUCACCCCCUGAUACAUGAGGAAAUCAAUAGAGAGAAGAUCCUAGAGCUCACCAACAAGAUGAUUGAGCUGCUGACUGGAGAGGUUCCUAUAAGGUGUCAGGAUGUCACCAUAUAUUUCUCCAU